AAGUCGUAACAAGGUAACCGUAGGUGAACCUGCGGUUGGAUCAUUAUUAAAAGUAAAGGUUUAUCAUUUCUUAUGGUAAACUCUUUCCAUUCUUUUUUUUGAAAAAGGGGAAACUCUUUUAAAAAAAAGAUAUCCACACCUGUGAACUUGUUUAUACCAAAAGGGUAUAUCUUUUUUGGUAGUUUCCUAUGAUCUCUUUCUUUUAAGAGGUGAUAGAUGACUACCAAAGGGUAAACCCUCUAGUAAAAAUUAUACCUUAUAUCAUAAGUCUUAUCUUUUACUAAAAACAAUAGUAAACAACUUUUGACAACGGAUCUCUUGGCUCUC
rnacentral:misc_RNA from 1 species